GACGAACGCUGGCGGCGUGCUUAACACAUGCAAGUCGAGCGGAAAGGCCACUUCGGUGGUACUCGAGCGGCGAACGGGUGAGUAACACGUGAGUAAUCUGCCCCUGGCUUUGGGAUAGCCACCGGAAACGGUGAUUAAUACCGGAUACGACCACUUCUCGCAUGGGAUGGUGGUGGAAAGUUUUUUCGGCCAGGGAUGUGCUCGCGGCCUAUCAGCUUGAUGGUGAGGUAAUGGCUCACCAUGGCUUCGACGGGUAGCCGGCCUGAGAGGGUGGCCGGUCACACUGGGACUGAGACACGGGCCAGACUCCUACUGGAGGCAGCAGUGGGGAAUGUUGGACAAUGGGCGGAAGCCUGAUCCAGCAACGCCGCGUGAGGGAUGACGGCCUUCGGGUUGUAAACCUCUUUCAGCAGGGACGAAGCGCAAGUGACGGUACCUGCAGAAGAAGCACCGGCUAACUACGUGCCAGCCGCCGCGGUAA
rnacentral:rRNA from 1 species